rnacentral:tRNA from 1 species
GCCUCCAUAGCUCAGUCGGUAGAGCAUCAGACUUUUAANCUGAGGGUCUGGGGUUCGAGUCCCCAUGUGGGCUCCA